rnacentral:rRNA from 1 species
GAUGAACGCUGGCGGCGUGCCUAAUACAUGUAAGUCGAGCGAACAGAUGAGGAGCUUGCUCCUCUGACGUUAGCGGCGGACGGGUGAGUAACACGUGGAUAACCUACCUAUAAGACUGGGAUAACUUCGGGAAACCGGAGCUAAUACCGGAUAAUAUAUUGAACCGCAUGGUUCAAUAGUGAAAGACGGUUUUGCUGUCACUUAUAGAUGGAUCCGCGCCGCAUUAGCUAGUUGGUAAGGUAACGGCUUACCAAGGCAACGAUGCGUAGCCGACCUGAGAGGGUGAUCGGCCACACUGGAACUGAGGCACGGUCCAGACUCCUACGGGAGGCAGCAGUAGGGAAUCUUCCGCAAUGGGCGAAAGCCUGACGGAGCAACGCCGCGUGAGUGAUGAAGGUCUUCGGAUCGUAAAACUCUGUUAUUAGGGAAGAACAAAUGUGUAAGUAACUAUGCACGUCUUGACGGUACCUAAUCAGAAAGCCACGGCUAACUACGUG